AAAUUACCAAGGAGCAGGUAUCAGGCACAACCUGUUAGCCCAAAACACCUUGCUACGCCACACCCACACGGGCACCCAGCAGUGAUAAAUAUUAAGCAAUGAGUAAAAACCAACUAAAGCUCGACUUAGUUAUGAUUAUUAGGGCCGGUAAACCUCGUGCCAGCCACCGCGGUUAUACGAGGGGCCCAAAACAACGGAAAUCGGCGUAAAUUGUGACUAGAGUAUCUACUUAUAUCAUUGGGAAAUAAACAAAAACUCAACCGUAAAACCCGAGUCAAAAGAAACAUAAUUUUCCAACUACAAAGAAACUUGAACCCACGAAGACUAAGAAACAAACUAGGAUUAGAUACCCUACUAUGCUUAGUUGUUAACAUGAUACCAAAAAACACCAGUAUCCGCCAGAAGAUUACACGCGAAAAGCUUAAAACUCAAAGGACUUGGCGGUGCUCCGUAUUCGCCUUAGAGGAGCCUGUCCUAUAAUCGAUAACCCACGUUUUACCUUACCAUCUUUUGUCAAUACAGCCUAUAUACCGCCGUCGCAAACUUACCCCAUGAGGGAACAACAGUAAGUAAAAUAGUAACACACUAACACGUCAGGUCAAGGUGUAGCUAAUAAGAUGGAAGAGAUGGGCUACAUUUUCUAAAACAGAACACACGGCAAAGAGCACUGAAAUAUGCUCUAAAAGGUGGAUUUAAUAGUAAGAUAGAAAAGAAAACCUAUCUAAAAC
rnacentral:rRNA from 1 species